AUACCAAGGCACAAUCUGGCUUCUCUCUGUUUCUAGACACUCUGCUCCUGGGAAGAUGGAGUGACUUAUUGGAUUGAUAAGUGUGGGAUGGAAAACCAGGUGUGGCCCCUCACCCCCUUAGGAGUGAGCCAGCCAGCAGAAAGCAGGUGCUCUCCUCUGCUCUGCCAUCAGGCGGUGUUAUUGAAACCAGUCUAGUCUCACCAGUACAGACUCAGCAACCGGGGCAGUAACUCGUCCCUCUACCAGAAGGAUUCCUGUUUGCUCCAAGAAUCAGCCAGGUUCUCACAAGCAAACAGCAAGACAGAGUAAAGUGCCUCAGGCUGCGGAUGGACCAGCCCUCACGGAGAUCCAGCACUGGAGAGUAGGGACAAAUGUCCUUACAAAGCCUUUGGGGUAUGAAUUGGGUCAAAGUGAGACACGAAGAGUGAGAAGUUCUAAAUUUUCUCGUGUGAAUGAUAAUUUCCUCGUUGUAAUGGGCUUAGUUCUCCCUUCUAUAAGAAAGAUGUUUCUUGAUGCAAGUAAUUGAAGGCCAGACUCAAACCGGCAAUCAAGGAAAUUUACUAGCUCACCCAGCCAAAAACUGCAGGAGAAGGUCAGGCUUCAGGGGUAAUCAGAUCAAGGUUCCAGCUCUACUGCUCUUUCAAGUGUCUCAACUCUGCCCUUCUCUUUGUAUCUGCUUCAUUUUUAUCCUGGUCUCCUACACAGUAAAUAAACAGCUGAAGUAGUUCACCAUACAACAACUUCCUGUGGAAGAAAGAAUAUCUGUCCUGACAACUCUUUGCUGAGAGCAAAGAAGUUUCACAGAAGUCCUCACAAGUCUUCUUUUAUCCCUCUGGUCAGCGUUGGGUCAUUUGCCCAUCCCUGAAUGAUUCACUGUGGCCAAGGUAACAAGACUAAGCUAACCAGGGCUUACUCUAUUAGCUCAUCCGUACCUUGUGGCUAAAAGGUGUGGGGUAGGGAAAACUAUCACCAUGAAGGAGGGGUGGAAAGCUGGAUGGAGACACCUGCUUUAGAAGUUUUACAGCCAGGAAGAACCUCAUUAAUUACAAUCAUCCUCAGUUGCUACUUUACACGUAGGAAAAAAAAAGACUUCAUACGGUAACCCUUCUUCUCUUUUCUUCAUAAGGAUGAAAACUUAAUUGUAAAAGGAUGAGGGAGGCGGUACUGCUAACACCAUCUUCUCUCAGUGCCUGUCUUAGCGCAGGCUGCCGUAAAGAAACACGACGGACUGGGAAGCUUAAAAACCGGAAACUGAUUUUCUCACUGUCUGGAGGCUAGGAAGUCCAAGAUCAGGGUGCCAGUAUGAUUGGGUUCUAAGAGAGCUCUCUUCCAGGCUUGCAGGUGGCUGGGUUUUUUUGCUGUGUCCUCAUGUGGCGCAGAGAGAGAGAGAGAGACACCAAUAGACAGGGAGAGAUCUCUCAUCCUCUUCUUAUAAGGUCAUAGGCCUAUCAGAUUAGGGCCCAACCCUUGUGUCCUCAUUAAUCCUUAGUUCCCUUCUAAAGACCCUAUCUUCA